rnacentral:rRNA from 1 species
UACGAAGGGAGCUAGCGUUGUUCGGAAUCACUGGGCGUAAAGCGCACGUAGGCGGAUUGUUAAGUCAGGGGUGAAAUCCUGGAGCUCAACUCCAGAACUGCCUUUGAUACUGGCGAUCUUGAGUCCGGGAGAGGUGAGUGGAACUGCGAGUGUAGAGGUGAAAUUCGUAGAUAUUCGCAAGAACACCAGUGGCGAAGGCGGCUCACUGGCCCGGUACUGACGCUGAGGUGCGAAAGCGUGGGGAGCAAACAGG